GUUUCAUGUAUAGUCCGAACUAUUCUAUCAUCCUCUAAAUAAGAAAGUUUGAAAAAUAAUCUCAUAACUUCAAUGUUCUGUUUUCUUUUUUCCAUCCCCUACCUCCACGAACGGCUAGAUUGGUAGAGUUUUUAAAGGCCCCUAAAACGUAUCGACAUGCCCUAUUUUGCACAGUUUCUAGUUGCUUAUGUUCUGAUAUACCCC
rnacentral:lncRNA from 1 species